AGGAGUGGUGACUCUCAUCUGCUCCAAGAUGAACCCACUGUGGACCCUCAUCUUUGUGCUGUCAGCCCCCAGAGGGGUCCUGUCCCAGGUGCAGCUGCAGGAGUCGGGACCCAGCCUGGUGAAGCCCUCACAGACCCUCUCCCUCACCUGCACGGUCUCCGGAUUCUCAUUAAGCAGCGAUGGUACUGGUGUAGGCUGGGUCCGCCAGGCUCCAGGAAAGGCGCUGGAGUGGCUUGGUGGUAUAGGUUAUAGUGGAAGCACAGGCUACAACCCGGCCCUGAAAUCCCGGCUCAGCAUCACCAGGGACACCUCCAAGAGCCAAGUCUCCCUGUCACUGAGCAGCGUGACAACUGAGGACACGGCCGUGUACUACUGUGCAAGAGACACAGUGAGGGGAAGUCAGUGUUGCCGGGAGCCAGCACGAGGAAUCCCGCCCAUGACAAAGGUCGUGAGGAAGAGGCUUGACAGGCAAAGGCUGAUCCCUUGA